CGGGGCGUAGCGCAGCCUGGUAGCGCACUUGCAUGGGGUGCAAGGGGUCGAAGGUUCAAAUCCUUCCGUUCCGA
rfam:Alcaligenes sp. EGD-AK7 Contig1, whole genome shotgun sequence.